rnacentral:rRNA from 1 species
AGUCGCCGCGGUAAAACGUAGGUGGCAAGCGUUAUCCGGAAUUAUUGGGCGUAAAGCGCGCGUAGGCGGUUUUUUAAGUCUGAUGUGAAAGCCCACGGCUCAACCGUGGAGGGUCAUUGGAAACUGGAAAACUUGAGUGCAGAAGAGGAAAGUGGAAUUCCAUGUAUAGCGGUGAAAUGCGCAGAGAUAUGGAGGAACACCAGUGGCGAAGGCGACUUUCUGGUCUGUAACUGACGCUGAUGUGCGAAAGCGUGGGGAUCAAACAGGAUUAGAUACCCCUGUAGUCCCUGUCUCUUAUACA